UACCAGCACCCCGAGUGGUCGGGACGAUUAUUGGGCCUAAAGCGAUCCGUAGCCGGUCCUACAAGUCUUCCGUUAAAUCCACCUGCUUAACAGAUGGGCUGCGGAAGAUACUAUAGGGCUAGGAGGCGGGAGAGGCAAGCGGUACUCAGUGGGUAGGGGUAAAAUCCUCUGAUCCAUUGAAGACCACCAGUGGCGAAGGCGGCUUGCCAGAACGCGCUCGACGGUGAGGGAUGAAAGCUGGGGGAGCAAACCGG
rnacentral:rRNA from 1 species